rnacentral:lncRNA from 1 species
CGGGUUUGAAGUUGCACGUUGUCCACUGAGAUAACAAAUUUCAUCCUUACUGUGCGGGCUGGUCUCUGAAGAAACG